rnacentral:rRNA from 1 species
GACGAACGCUGGCGGCACGCCUAACACAUGCAAGUCGAACGGUGAAGAGAAGCUUGCUUCUCGGAUCAGUGGCGGACGGGUGAGUAACAUGUGAGGAACCUGCCUUUCAGAGGGGGAUAACGUUUGGAAACGAACGCUAAUACCGCAUAACAUAUUCGGACGGCAUCGUCUGAAUAUCAAAGGAGCAAUCCGCUGAAAGAUGGCCUCGCACCUGAUUAGAUAGUUGGUGAGGUAACGGCUCACCAAGUCGACGAUCAGUAGCCGGACUGAGAGGUUGAACGGCCACAUUGGGACUGAGACACGGCCCAGACUCCUACGGGAGGCAGCAGUGGGGGAUAUUGCGCAAUGGGGGAAACCCUGAUGCAGCGACGCCGCGUGAAGGAUGAAGGUCUUCGGAUCGUAAACUUUUGUCUUCAGGGACGAUAAUGACGGUACCUGAGGAGGAAGCCACGGGCUAACUACGUG